rnacentral:rRNA from 1 species
UACAGAGGGGGGCAAGCGUUGUUCGGAAUUACUGGGCGUAAAGGGCGCGUAGGUGGCCUUCUAAGUUGAACGUGAAAUCCCUGGGCUCAACCCAGGAACUGCGUCCAAGACUGGGAGGCUUGAAUCCGGGAGAGGGAUGCGGAAUUCCAGGUGUAGCGGUGAAAUUCGUAGAUAUCGAGAGGAACACCGGUGGCGAAGGCGGCGAUCUGGACGAUGACUGACGCUGAGACGCGAAAGCGUGGGGGAGCAAACAGG